UCGGGAAUAUUGCGCAAUGGAGGAAACUCUGACGCAGUGACGCCGCGUAUAGGAAGAAGGUUUUCGGAUUGUAAACUAUUGUCAUCAGGGAAGAUAAAAGACAGUACCUGAGGAGGAAGCUCCGGCUAACUAUGUGCCAGCAGCCGCGGUAAUACAUAGGGAGCAAGCGUUAUCCGGAUUUAUUGGGUGUAAAGGGUGCGUAGACGGGAAAGCAAGUUAGUUGUGAAAUCCCUCGGCUUAACUGAGGAACUGCAACUAAAACUGUUUUUCUUGAGUGUCGGAGAGGAAAGUGGAAUUCCUAGUGUAGCGGUGAAAUGCGUAGAUAUUAGGAGGAACACCAGUGGCGAAGGCGACUUUCUGGACGAUAACUGACGUUGAGGCACGAAAGUGUGGGGAGCAAACAGG
rnacentral:rRNA from 1 species